CAUCCCUUUAUCCAUGUCUACAUUUCUGGAGGAGCAGGUGCAGGACCCAAGAAUGGUGAAGGUUCUGUUACGGGAUGUGGUUAUUGUGGGACGGGUGGAGAUGUGUUGGCAGGUUUUACAUUUCUUGUCCUGGCAUGAUCUGGAUCCAUUCGGUGUGCUUUGGGCCACAGGAAGCUUGCUUCUAGUGAUGAGGUUGGCAAGGUUCAGUGCCUGUUUAAAGGCUAGGAUGAGUGGUUUGGGAAGAUCUCUUUAAGAAUGGGGUCUUCUUCUAGUAUAGGUUGCAAUUGUUUGAGGAUUUUCCAUAUAGGUUCCAGGAAAGGAUGGUAUGUCAUAACUAAUGUUGUGUGAUUCGUGGGGAUUUUCUUUUUGUACUGCAGCAAGUCUUCACAUGAUAUCUGGAUGCCUCUUUCAAAAGUGCAACCUAGCAGCUUUAUUGUGUAUUCCAGAAGAGCUCCUGGAUCUCUGUGAUGUCUGUAUCUAUUACAUCACCCUCUUUUUCUCAUCAGACUGUUCUUCCGGAAUGUCCUUCCCUGGAGCAUUACCUGGUAUCCUCACUGACCUUGCAAGGGGGUGGCAGGUCCCUAACCACUGUGGCAUCCAGAUUGGCUUAGUAGCAGCAUGUACAAUGGCAGCCCCAAAUCUCUUGUUGGACCCUUUGGCCUUCAGGAAUCAGAAGCUGAGCAUCAGAUUUUGCACUUGAGAGUCUUCAGCCCAUUUGUAUUGAAUUUUUUCUUAACUGUUGUCUUUGCUCAUCUUUCAUCCCAGAAUUCAGUUUUCCUCCCCUUGCUCCAGGGCUGCCAUCUGGUACUAGCCAGUGAUUCAAUUCUCUCCAUCACUGGUAGAAGUAGGAAAGACAGAUUCAUCUGAAAGUACAUAUUAAACUUGCAAGUCAGUGCUUUGGUUUUCCCAGAUUAAAAUCUUCCCUAUUCUUA